rnacentral:misc_RNA from 1 species
UAUGUGGUUACAAGAUAGUUACUGGCCAGCCAUCAGAUAGGCUUUGGGGGGACUUCUCUGAGUUGUACAAGGAUCUCACUGAGAGGUUGAGUAAUGUAGAAGAGCUAACUAGGGCUACCAUGAAAAAGUUAACUCAGGGAAUGGCUGAGCAUAACAAAGCGAUGGCUGCUGCGAAGUCAGAUGAGGCAAAGGAUAACAUAAAAACUCAAAAACAGAAUACUACAACUGGGUUGCGAACUUGCAAUAACAUUUUGGCAAUGACAAAGCCAUUGCAUUUGAAGACGCCUUUAUUUAUUGGAGAUAAGAGUAUCAAUCCCUCCUGGAAAGAAGCAGUUAAACCUUCUGUGCCUUCCACCACGACAGCCACUGGAGGGAAACGACCUGCUACUACUGCUAAUGGGUCUGGCAACAUGGCAAAAAAGGGCCGUGGGUCUGGUGGCUUACAAAACCAACUAGUUAACAGGGCAUUGGAAGGAAUAUCUCAUGGAGGGAGGGGUGGUACAGGGGGCAGGGGC